CUGGAGUUUAAAGUCAUCCAUGGCUAUUUGACAUGCCUUAAAAAAAUCAAAAGUACAAUUGCUAACAGUAACCUCCUUAGUGUAGGCAGCCUGUCGCUCAUAUGGGUUUUCCUAAAGGACCUUGGAGACAGUA
ensembl:snoRNA SNORA70 Small nucleolar RNA SNORA70